rnacentral:snRNA from 1 species
UCACUUACCUGGACGGGGUCAAUGGGCGAUCAAGAAGGUCCAUGGCCUAGGUUGGUGACCUCCAUUGCACUUAGGAGGGGUGCCCGUCUAAGGUCGGCCCAAGUGGUCGAGCCUACGUCAUAAUUUGUGGCAGUGGGGGCUUGCGUUCGCGCAGCCCCUGC